CUACAGCGAAACUGCGAAUGGCUCAUUAAAUCAGUUAUAGUUUAUUUGAUGGAUAAAGAAAUGGAUAACCGUAGUAAUUCUAGAGCUAAUACAUGCUUGAAAGCCCGACUCACGAAGGGCUGCAUUUAUUAGAUAAAGCCAACGUAUGGUGACUCAUAACUUAGCGAAUCGUAGAUUCUAUCUGCGAUAUAUCAUUCAAGUUUCUGCCCUAUCAGCUUUGAUGGUAGUGUAUUGGACUACCAUGGCUUUAACGGGUAACGGGGAAUUAGGGUUCGGUUCCGGAGAAAGAGCCUGAGAAACGGCUAUUACAUCUAAGGACGGCAGCAGGGGCGUAAAUUACCCAAUCUUAACUUAAGGAGGUAGUGACAAGAAAUAUUGACAUUGGAGAAAUCCAAGAUCGGAAUGGGCUAAAUUUAAAUCCCUUAGCGAGUAACAAUUGGAGGGCAAGUCUGGUGCCAGCAGCCGCGGUAAUUCCAGCUCCAAUAGCGUAUAUUAAAGUUGUUGCAGUUAAAAAGCUCGUAGUUGG
rnacentral:rRNA from 1 species